rnacentral:rRNA from 1 species
UCCGUAAGGUGACCCUGCGGAGGGAUCAUUA